rnacentral:rRNA from 1 species
ACUACUCCUACGGGAGGCAGCCGUAGGGAAUCUUCCGCAAUGGACGAAAGUCUGACGGAGCCACGCCGCGUGAGUGAUGAAGGCCUUCGGGUCGUAAAAGUCUGUUGUUAGGGAAGAACAAGUGCUAGUUGAAUAAGCUGGCACCUGACGUAGCCUACC